GUAGUCCACGCCGUAAACGAUGUCGUCUUGGAGGUUGUUCCCUUGAGGAGUGGCUUCCGGAGAUAACGCGUUAAGUCGACCGCCUGGGGAGUACGGCCGCAAGGUUAAAACUCAAAUGAAUUGACGGGGGCCCGCACAAGCGGUGGAGCAUGUGGUUUAAUUCGAUGCAACGCGAAGAACCUUACCUACUCUUGACAUCCAGAGAACUUAGCAGAGAUGGUUUGGUGCCUUCGGGAACUCUGAGACAGGUGCUGCAUGGCUGUCGUCAGCUCGUGUUGUGAAAUGUUGGGUUAAGUCCCGCAACGAGCGCAACCCUUAUCCUUUGUUGCCAGCGAUUCGGUCGGGAACUCAAAGGAGACUGCCGGUGAUAAACCGGAGGAAGGUGGGGAUGACGUCAAGUCAUCAUGGCCCUUACGAGUAGGGCUACACACGUGCUACAAUGGCGCAUACAAAGAGAAGCGACCUCGCGAGAGCAAGCGGACCUCACAAAGUGCGUCGUAGUCCGGAUCGGAGUCUGCAACUCGACUCCGUGAAGUCGGAAUCGCUAGUAAUCGUGGAUCAGAAUGCCACGGUGAAUACGUUCCCGGGCCUUGUACACACCGCCCGUCACACCAUGGGAGUGGGUUGCAAAAGAAGUAGGUAGCUUAACCUUCGGGAGGG
rnacentral:rRNA from 1 species